ACAUAACCCCAUGGAAAACAAAUUUCUUCAAAAUUUGGUGGAGGGUGCCAAAAGAGAGCAUGCCAAACCAGUUUCCAAAAAGGCUCCUGUUACCAGUGAGGGCCUAGAGGAGUGUUGUACAAAGUAUCAGGGUUGUGACACACUCACUGUGCGUAGAGACAUCUCUAUGGCAUUGCUAUUGUUCGCUGGGUUUCUUAGGUACAACGAGAUUGCAGACCUCAAAU